GACGAACGCUGGCGGCGUGCUUAACACAUGCAAGUCGAACGGAAAGGCCCUGCUUUUGUGGGGUGCUCGAGUGGCGAACGGGUGAGUAGCACGUGAGUAACCUGCCCUUGACUUUGUGAUAACUUCAGGAAACUGGGGCUAAUACCGGAUAGGAGCUCCUGCUGCAUGGUGGGGGUUGGAAAGCUUCGGCGGUUGGGGAUGGACUCGCGGCUUAUCAGCUUGUUGGUGGGGUAGUGGCUUACCAAGGCUUUGACGGGUAGCCGGCCUGAGAGGGUGACCGGCCACAUUGGGACUGAGAUACGGCCCAGACUCCUACGGGAGGCAGCAGUGGGGAAUAUUGCACAAUGGGCGGAAGCCUGAUGCAGCAACGCCGCGUGCGGGAUGACGGCCUUCGGGUUGUAAACCGCUUUCGCCUGUGACGAAGCGUGAGUGACGGUAAUGGGUAAAGAAGCACCGGCUAACUACGUG
rnacentral:rRNA from 1 species